GAAAUGCGGUCUAAUACCUUAUGUGCUCCGAAGAGGACAUCUGAUUUGGAGUAAAGAUUUAUCGCCUUGGGAUGGGGAUGCGUCUGAUUAGAUUGUUGGCGGGGCAACGGCCCACCAAGUCACCGAUCAGUAGGGGUUCUGAGAGGAAAGUCCCCCACAUUGGAACUGAGACACGGUCCAAACUCCUACGGGAGGCAGCAGUGAGGAAUAUUGGUCAAUGGAUGAGAAUCUGAACCAGCCAAGUAGCGUGCAGGACGACGGCCCUAUGGGUUGUAAACUGCUUUUGUACGGGGAUAAAGGAGCUUACGUGUAAGUUUUUGCAGGUACCGUACGAAUAAGGACCGGCUAAUUCCGUGCC
rnacentral:rRNA from 1 species